ensembl:lncRNA
CAUAUUUCCUUCAGAAAACAAAGAGAAACUCACAUAGUCUUUGUGUCUCUUCUCCUGCAAUCCUUCAAAUGAUUCCAUCUUCCGAUUAUUCCACAAAAAUGACUGUAAAUCUCUGGUCAGAGGUCAAGAUCCUUCACAUCAUAGCUGUGUCCCAAACUUAAGUGCAUGGACUCCGAAGUGCGCAUUUGAAGUGCGAAUGCGUCACAAUGGCGCGACGAAGGAUGUCCCAAACUGAAGUGUGUGGACUCCGAAGUGCGGAUGUGAAAUGCGAUUGCGUCACAGCGUCACGAAGUAAGCUGUCCCAAAGUCAGAAUGCGCACUUCGAAGACCGCAUUUGAAGUGCGAAUGCGUCACCGCGCCGCGACGAAUGCUGACGAGUUUCGAAAGCGACUUCAAAUGCGCCCUUCAUUUCCCAGGAAAAUGAAGUGUACAUCUUAUGGACACUUCGCACCCUGCCAUAUCCCAGAAUCACUUGCGUGCAUAUGACGAAGCUGUUUAUAUUCAGAGGCAGGUGAGAGUUCUGUGGAGGACUUCACAUUAAAAUGCAUGGUUUAUUUGUGAAGUGUCCUGAGACAGGUGAGGGAGCGAGUGGACAGGGAGGACAUCAAACUCAAACAAAUACAUUCUUCAUUAGCCAAGAGAAAACAGUGGGAAAAAAUGAGAGGUCAAUCUCUUGGUGAAUGGCCAGCACCUCCUCAGAGACUCAGAGGACGAUGCGGUGACAGUGGAACGAGGGACAUGUCAAACACUCUGGAGACCAUCUGUAUGAUGUACCGCUGGCAGACAGAAGAGAAACACCAGGGUCUGGAUCGUGGCACACCAUCACUGUUGCCCUUCACUUCCCAGAAGAUCCAGCAGCACAGUCAGGGUCUCCCUGCUCAGAACAAAACCAUUAAACACCUGUCCAGCGCUGACACAUUCAGCUCUAUCCUGCAGUACAGGGGUCUGGUCUGAUUUAGGGAAAGAAGGAAAAGAGAAA